GCUGGGUGUGGUGGCGCACACCUAUAAUCCCAGGAAUUUGGGAGCCUGAGGCAGGAGGAUCACAAGUUCAAGGCCAAUCUAGACAACUCAGUGAGACCCAGACUCAA
rnacentral:sRNA from 1 species